AUCUUACCGAAGAAAUUUAGUAAAGAAAAUAUAUAUUUGAUUAUACAUGUAAUAACGGCAGCAAGAAUAGUAUUUGCACAAAAUUGGAAAGCAGAAAAAAAUCCUACAAAGGGAGAGCUAAUUAAGAAAAUAUUAGAAGGUGCAGAAAUGAGUAGAUUAACAUUAGCAAUUAGAGGGAAGGAAGAAUCGGAGUAUUACAACAUAUGGGGGCAAUUUUAUCAAUGGAUAGAGACUGAAUAUAGACAACGGGCAAUGUAACAAUAAGAAAUAUGGGAAAAAUAUGUUGUAAUACAUUAAAUUUAAAUGUAAGAGGAAAGAUAAAUAUGUACUAAGAAAAUGAUGAUAAAUGUUGAAUAUGAUAACACACAAAAAAUUUGUACCCAGAUGUUACACUGAUUGAUUAAUGAUGAAUUGUUUGUUUAAAAAUAAACAAUUUUUCCAAAAAAAAAAAAAAAAAGGGAUUACAGGAUCAUAAAAAGAAAAAAAAUUGACCAAGUGUGAUGAGACGAACAAGAAAUUUGUCUUCAGCGCAGAAGCUCUCAGGGUACAUGCAAAGCAAAGGAGUAAUCAUCACCAUCAUCAUAAUAGCAAUAAAAGGAGGAGCAAGGAAGAUAAGAAGAAUAAAUGAUAAUACUACAGCCAUAUUACAUGGGAUUGUGGGAAACCAGCAGGAAGAGCAAGUGAAGGAGGAAACCAUGAAACGGUGGUUCCGGGAAACAGCUGGAGAAAUCAAAUCUGCAGCACUCCACCAACAGGAAGCAACCCAGGACUGAACAAACCCCCAUCGUGUUCCAUACGCAGCGAGGAUUGUUUUCACACAACACUGGAAAAAUGAAGCUAUACCACGAGAUGAAGAAAUAGUCAAGAAGAUACUACAUUGUGCAGAAAUGGAUAGAUUGACAUUGACAAUUAAACAGAAAGAGGAUGUAGAAUAUUAUCCAACGUGGAAUUUAUUUUACCAGUGGUUGGAAAAAAGGGCUGGAGAUUAAGAA